rnacentral:rRNA from 1 species
UACGUAGGGGGCGAGCGUUGUCCGGAUUUAUUGGGCGUAAAGAGCGUGUAGGCGGCCAGGUAGGUCUGCUGUGAAAACUCGAGGCUCAACCUCGAGACGUCGGCGGAAACCAUCUGGCUAGAGUCCGGAAGAGGAGAGUGGAAUUCCUCGGUGUAGCGGUGAAAUGCGCAGAUAUCAGGAAGAACACCCGUGGCGAAGGCGGCUCUCUGGGACGGUACUGACGCUGAGACGCGAAAGCGUGGGGAGCGAACAGG